CAAUAGCGUAUAUUUAAGUUGUUGCAGUUAAAAAGCUCGUAGUCGGAUUUUGGCUGAGAACGAUCGGUCCGCCGUUAGGUGUGCACUGAUUGGUCUCAGCUUCCUGGUGAGGAGGUGUGCUUCACGGCCACUUAGUCACCGUGGUUACUUUGAAAAAAUUAGAGUGUUCAAAGCGGGCUUACGCUUGAAUAUAUUAGCAUGGAAUAAAACCAUAGGACUCCUGUCCUAUUUCGUUGGUCUCGGGACGGGAGUAAUGAUUAAGAGGAACAGUUGGGGGCAUUCGUAUUUCAUUGUCAGAGGUGAAAUUCUUGGAUUUAUGAAAGACGAACUUCUGCGAAAGCAUUUGCCAAGGAUGUUUUCAUUGA
rnacentral:rRNA from 1 species